rnacentral:rRNA from 1 species
CCUACGGGUGGCUGCAGUGGGGAAUAUUGGACAAUGGGCGAAAGCCUGAUCCAGCCAUGCCGCGUGUGUGAAGAAGGCCUUCGGGUUGUAAAGCACUUUCAGUGGGGAAGAAAGCCUUGGGGCUAAUACCCUCGAGGAAGGACAUCACCCACAGAAGAAGCACCGGCUAACUCCGUGCCAGCAGCCGCGGUAAUACGGAGGGUGCGAGCGUUAAUCGGAAUUACUGGGCGUAAAGCGCGCGUAGGCGGUCUGAUAAGCCGGUUGUGAAAGCCCCGGGCUCAACCUGGGAACGGCAUCCGGAACUGUCAGGCUAGAGUGCAGGAGAGGAAGGUAGAAUUCCCGGUGUAGCGGUGAAAUGCGUAGAGAUCGGGAGGAAUACCAGUGGCGAAGGCGGCCUUCUGGACUGACACUGACGCUGAGGUGUGAAAGCGUGGGUAGCAAACAGGAUUAGAUACCCGAGUAGUC